rnacentral:rRNA from 1 species
GACGAACGCUGGCGGCGGGCUUAACACAUGCAAGUCGAACGGAAAGGCACUGCUUGUGUGGGGUGCUCGAGUGGCGAACGGGUGAGUAACACGUGAGUAACCUGCCCUUGACUUUGGGAUAACUUCAGGAAACUGGGGCUAAUACCGUAUAGGAUCUCACGCAGCAUGGUGGGGGUGGGAAAUUUUCGGCGGUUGGGGAUGGACUCGCGGCUGAUCAGCUAGUUGGUGGGGUAGAGGCCCACCAAGGCGAUGAUCGGUAGCUGGCCUGAGUGGGGGACCAGCCACACUGGAACUGAGACACGGUCCAGAGUCCUACGGGAGGCAGCAGUGGGGAAUAUUGGACAAUGGGCGCAAGCCUGAUCCAGCCAUACCGCGUGGGUGAAGAAGGCCGUCGGGUUGUAAAGCCCUUUUGUUGGGAAAGAAAAGCAGCAGGUUAAUACCCCGCUGUUCUGACGGUACCCAAAGAAUAAGCACCGGCUAACUUCGUG